rnacentral:rRNA from 1 species
UACGAAGGGGGCUAGCGUUGUUCGGAAUCACUGGGCGUAAAGCGCACGUAGGCGGAUCUUUAAGUCAGGGGUGAAAUCCUGGAGCUCAACUCCAGAACUGCCUUUGAUACUGGCAACCUAGAGACUGGAAGAGGUUAGUGGAAUUCCCAGUGUAGAGGUGAAAUUCGUAGAUAUUGGGAAGAACACCAGUGGCGAAGGCGGCUAACUGGUCCAGCACUGACGCUGAGGUGCGAAAGCGUGGGGAGCAAACAGG